rnacentral:rRNA from 1 species
AUACGUAGGGGGCGUAGCGUUAUCCGGAAUUACUGGGCGUAGAGGGUGCGUAGGUGGUUUCUUAAGUCAGGAGUGAAAGGCUACGGCUUAACCGUAGUAAGCUCUUGAAACUGGGAAACUUGAGUGCAGGAGAGGAAAGUGGAAUUCCUAGUGUAGCGGUGAAAUGCGUAGAUAUUAGGAGGAACACCAGUAGCGAAGGCGGCUUUCUGGACUGUAACUGACACUGAGGCUCGAAAGCGUGGGGAGGC